rnacentral:lncRNA from 1 species
GGGGAGGGCCUGCUGAAGAUGAAGCCAACAUGAAAGAAAUCAGAGCAGAGGGAUAGAAAGCAACUGAUUUUGUAUUAUGUCUUUUGAGCACUGAGAUCCAGCCAACACUGUACCUUGAAGCCAAUCACUUUCCUUCUGGUUUGGAUUGACUUCUGUAACCCACAACUCAAAGAGUUCAAACUGAUGGGUGCAUCCUUCAUGCUCCAUGCUCCAUGCUCCAUGCUUACUUCCAAGUGAAGAACAGCCCAGAGAGAAGCUUUAUUCUCUCUGGCAUCUGGGCUGAUACGGUUACUUUGAUCCCAACUAAAUUGGCCUGGACUGAUUCCUAAUCCAAUUUAGGUUGAGUUGAGGGUCAAGGUUAAAGGGAGUUGUGCAGGGCCUGGUGGCUCAAGCCUGAAAUCCCAAUGACCAGGGAGGCUGAGGCAAGUUUGAGGCCAGCCUCAGCAACUUAGAUACCAUUUCAAAAUAACAAACUAAGUAAGUAUAUAAGU